rnacentral:lncRNA from 1 species
GUAAGUCUGUCAACACUAUAGAAAGGCAACCAAACAACAUUAAAAAACUAAUCUACAGUGAGUCUGUCAACACUAUAGAAAGGCAACCAAACAACAUUAAAAAACUAAUCUACAGUGAGUCUGUCAACACUAUAGAAAGGCAACCAAACAACAUUAAAAAAAACUAAUCUACAGUGAGUCUGUCAACACUAUAGAAAGGCAACCAAACAACAUUAAAAAAUUAAUCUACAGUGAGUCUGUCAACACUAUAGAAAGGCAACCAAAAAACAUUAAAAAAACUAAUCUACAGUGAGUCUGUCAACACUAUAGAAAGGCAACCAAACAACAUUAAAAAACUGAUCUACAGUGAGUCUGUCAACACUAUAGAAAGGCAACCAAACAACAUUAAAAAAC